UUGGGGAAACCGGCGAACGGGUGAGUAACACGUGAGGAACCUGCCCUGUACACCGGGAUAACUACGGGAAACUGUAGCUAAUACCGGAUACGACACCUUGGGGCAUCCCGAGGUGUGGAAAGAAUUUCGGUCAAGGAUGAGCUCGCGGCCUAUCAGCUUGUUGGUGAGGUAAAAGCUCACCAAGGCGACGACGGGUAGCCGGCCUGAGAGGGUGACCGGCCACACUGGAACUGAGAUACGGUCCAGACUCC
rnacentral:rRNA from 1 species